ACGUGACCCGAAGGCGCGAGGGCGCGCCUGAGCCGCCAUGUCGGAGGCGCGUGGAGAGCCAGGGUCCGGGCCUGAGGCUGGCGCCCGAUUCUUCUGCACUGCGGGUCGCGGCCUGGAGCCGUUCGUAAUGCGAGAGGUGCGGGCGCGGCUGGCGGCCACGCAGGUUGAAUAUAUUUCAGGAAAGGUUUUUUUCACCACCUGUUCUGAUUUGAAUAUGUUGAAGAAAUUAAAAUCUGCAGAAAGAUUAUUUUUGCUGAUUAAAAAGCAGUUUCCACUUAUUAUUUCUUCUGUAAGUAAAGGAAAAAUAUUUAAUGAAAUGCAAAGACUUAUAAAUGAAGAUCCAGGAAGUUGGUUGAAUGCCAUUUCAAUUUGGAAAAAUCUUCUUGAACUUGAUGCAAAAAAGGAAAAACUUUCUCAGAGAGAUGAUAACCAACUAAAAAGAAAAGUGGGAGAAAAUGAAAUCAUUGCAAAGAAAUUAAAAAUAGAACAAAUGCAAAAGAUAGAAGAGAAUAGGGACUGCCAGCUGGAAAAACAAAUAAAAGAAGAAACUCUGGAGCAAAGAGAUUUUACCACUAAAAGCGAAAAGUUUCAAGAAGAAGAAUUUCAGAAUGACAUAGAGAAAGCAAUUGAUACUCAUAAUCAGAAUGACUUGACUUUCAGAGUAUCUUGUCGCUGCAGUGGAACUAUUGGAAAGGCCUUCACUGCACAGAUGUCCUUUGUAUUUGGAAAUCCUGAUACCAUAGUCCUCAGCUUUUGGGGUUUCUCUUCAGUUCAGCUUUGUGCUUAUUCAGUGGCUACUCUGCACAGGUCCUGUACAUGGGAUUGUCACCAGGACCUAGACUGCAAAUGCACAUGAGGUCUCAGCAAUGUAGAGAAGAGCGAACACCACAAACUGUUGCCAUCACCAGACCUCAUCAGUUGGCCCUUACAAAGUUCAGUGAUGUUAAAGGCCAUUGGUCUGAAUACUUUAUCAACCUUAAAAUCAGUCAAACCCUAAAGGGAGGUAGGAAAAGUAAUUGGAAUUGCUAUUAUGAAACACUUUGGAUGGAAAGCAGACUUGAGGAAUCCACAAUUAGAGAUCUUUAUACAUCUAAAUGACAUUUACUCUGUGGUGGGGAUUCCUGUGUUCAGGGUUUCCCUAGCCAGCAGAGCUUACAUCAAGACAGCUGGACUGCGAUCUACAAUAGCGUGGGCAAUGGCAUCUCUGGCUGACAUUAAGGUACCAUAUGGCUCUGACUGAAACCUGGCUGUGCACUGAGGACUCUGCUUCCUCUGUAGACAUAUCAAGUGGUGGAUGUCUUUUCUCCCCUAUCUCGAGCACGACUGGGCCUGACAGUGGGGCUGGUGCAUUUGUUUUAGAUCCAAUGUGUGGACUUGGAACAAUACUUUUGGAAGCUGCUAAAGAAUGGCCAGAUGUGUAUUAUGUAGGUGCUGAUGUCAGCGACUCACAGUUACUAGGUACUUGGGACAAUCUGAAAGCUGCAGGCCUUGAGGAUAAAAUUGAAUUACUUAAAAUCUCUGUUAUAGAAUUGCCAUUGCCUUCAGAAAGUGUUGAUAUUAUUAUUUCUGACAUUCCAUUUGGGAAAAAGUUUAAGUUAGGAAAAGACAUCAAAAGCAUUCUACAAGAAAUGGAAAGAGUGCUUCAUGUUGGCGGAACCAUUGUAUUGUUGCUUAGUGAAGAUCACCACAGGCGCCUUACAGAUUGUAAAGAGAGCAACAUCCCUUUCAAUUCCAAGGACAGUCACACAGAUGAACCUGGAAUUAAAAAGUGCUUGAAUCCUGAAGAAAAAACUGGUGCAUUCAAGACAGCGUCAACUUCAUUCGAAGCCAGUAACCACAAAUUCUUAGACAGAAUGUCACCAUUUGGCUCCUUGGUACCAGUGGAAUGCUACAAAGUUAGCCUUGGAAAGACAGAUGCGUUCAUAUGUAAAUAUAAGAAGUCGCACUCUUCUGGACUGUAGCAGGCUUGCUGCCAUCAGCCGGGUUCAGGCCCUUGUAAGUUAGCUGUACAGCAGAAGUUUGCUGUCUCUAGGAUUCAUAUAGCACCCACAGAGCUCCAAGUAACCAAAUUCCCCCAAAGACAGGAGGUGUGGCUGAUGGGUACACAUGCUUGGUAAGAGUUUCUGCUUUAUAUUCUAAAGUACUUAAUGUUUUUGAGAAAAAAGUUAUCGAAUAUUUUUUAGACUUAAGUUUUAUCUUCUGUCAGAAUGUGAAAAGUUCUGCCCAGUUUCUGAGCAAAAACUUCAAUUUCAAAAUAAAGGUUUUCAGGGGUUCACUUAAGUGUAUCACAAUCAACACCAGACGGGAUAUUUUAACUAUCAGAUUUUCGGAAAUGUAAAAACCUUUAUGUGUAACUUCUUUUGAUAUUAAACUUGAUUUUUGAGCCUGUAAUUUUCUUCUCCAUUGGAAUGAAAAUAAUUUGUAUUUGCAAUACAUUUUAUAUGUUUAUUAUGUAAACCAACAGUGAGAAUAAUAACUGAAUUAAGCCAGUAUCCUUCAAAACAUGAUGGAAAAUGAAAUUUGCUUUUUUUCUAAAAGCAUUCAUACACUGUCACCUCGCCCUUAUUUAUAUAGAAAGUCAGUUUGUUGCUUAUGUUCACUACCUGAGAAAAAGAAACAGUAAGUUUGAGGAGAAU